rnacentral:lncRNA from 1 species
GUUUUUGUUUAAUUUCUCCAGUUUGGUUUAAUCUUCCAAUCUUUAUUUUUGUUUAAUUUCUCUCCCUUUUUCUCAUAAUUUAAGGUUUUGCUUUUUGUCUAAUUUCAAUUUUUAUUUUUGUUUAAUUUCUUCCCCUUUUUGACAUCAUCAAACAUAGUUAACUCUUCCUUUUCUUUUUCUGAAAUAUUCUUUAUUUUCUUCUUCUUUAGAGUUUUUCACAGAUGUUUGCUCCCCCUUAAUAUAGCAAUUAUCAACAGCAAACAACAACAAGGAGAAGACACUAUUUCAAAGAAGAAAAUAUAUAACCAUAUGAUCANN